rnacentral:rRNA from 1 species
AGUGAACGCUGGCGGUAGGCCUAACACAUGCAAGUCGAACGGCAGCACAGUAAGAGCUUGCUCUUACGGGUGGCGAGUGGCGGACGGGUGAGGAAUACAUCGGAAUCUACUUUUUCGUGGGGGAUAACGUAGGGAAACUUACGCUAAUACCGCAUACGACCUACGGGUGAAAGCAGUGGAUCUUCGGACCUUGCGCGAUUGAAUGAGCCGAUGUCGGAUUAGCUAGUUGGCGGGGUAAAGGCCCACCAAGGCGACGAUCCGUAGCUGGUCUGAGAGGAUGAUCAGCCACACUGGAACUGAGACACGGUCCAGACUCCUACGGGAGGCAGCAGUGGGGAAUAUUGGACAAUGGGCGCAAGCCUGAUCCAGCCAUACCGCGUGGGUGAAGAAGGCCUUCGGGUUGUAAAGCCCUUUUGCUGGGAAAGAAAAGCAGCGGGUUAAUACCCCGCUGUUCUGACGGUACCCAAAGAAUAAGCACCGGCUAACUUCGUG